rnacentral:rRNA from 1 species
AGGGUGUAAACGUUGCAGACUUGGUGUUGGGGGCCCUUUGGGGGCAUUCAGUGCCGGAGAGAAGUUGUUAAGUCUGCUACUUGGGGAGUACGUCCGCAAGGAUGAAACUUAAAGGAAUUGGCGGGGGAGCACCGCAACGGGAGGAGCGUGCGGUUUAAUUGGAUUCAACACCGUAAAACUCACCAGGGAAGACUGUUACAUGAAAGCCGAGAUGAAGACUCUGCUAGAUUUUCAGAGAGGAGGUGCAUGGCGUCAGUGACU